rnacentral:rRNA from 1 species
UCGGGCUUGGUCGUAACUAAUCUUCUCUGGUUGACCUCGGAUCAGGUAGGGAUACCCGCUGAACUUAA